UUGAACAGAUCUCAGCUAACCCUUCGUAAGCUACAAAGUAUCUCUCUCCGUUAAUUAGGACUGUCCCUUUCAACGGCUUUGCAAGAUUAACUUCUACACAAACUCUCGCAAACCUUGCUCUUUCAAACUUCAAUGUGGUCAAGUCAACACGAACUGGUUUACCCAAACCCUUGGCAAUACCCAUGAGGAUCGAUCGAUGGUAAAAGUUCACUGGAA
rnacentral:lncRNA from 1 species